GCAUAUUCUUCCUCUACUAGCUUAAUGGAUACAAUUUGUGAAAUAAUAUUUAAAAAUCUUAAACAUGUAGCUGUGACUAUCACAUUUUUUUGUCUAUUAGAAUUAAUUUUUUAAAAAAGAGUAGACUUGUUUGCUAUAAGAUAAUUUGUGUUGAAAUGAACAUUAUUCCAGAUUUAAUGGCUCAAAUAUGUAUUUAUCAAUUUACUUCACUGACAUUUUGAAGGAUUUUUUUAGUUUGUUCACUGAGUUUGCCUUCUGUAAUAUACAAAAUAGUUGGGCUAGACUGUAAAUAUGUAAGUCUAACCUGAAGUUUGUUUGAAAGUAACUGCUUUGCUCCUUCUCCCAUAUCCCCUAGUCAAUGAUACACUUGAUGACAUCUUUGACGGUUCUGAUGACGAAGAAGAAAGCCAGGAUAUUGUGAAUCAAGUUCUUGAUGAAAUUGGAAUUGAAAUUUCUGGAAAGAUGGCCAAAGCUCCAUCAGCUGCUCGAAGCUUACCAUCUGCCUCUACUUCAAAGGCUACAAUCUCAGAUGAAGAGAUUGAACGGCAACUCAAGGCUUUAGGAGUAGAUUAGUCAAAAGAAGUCAUACUAUUUUGCUUACUUAUAAUUAUGUAGUAUAAACCAAGCACAGUGCAGAUUUCUUUUACAAAACACAUGUAUUUUG
rnacentral:lncRNA from 1 species